UCUCCGGCCUGGUAGUAAAAUAAUUAUGAACACACUGAACUUGGCAAAGCAAACUAAAAACUGAACUCAAAAAGUCCCCAAUUCACAUAGUGCGGUUGAGUUUCAAAGGGAAACUGGAAAUUAAUACUGAACUGCAGGAAGCAAGUCAACCCUCUUAUAGCUCUGUUUCUUGGGUCCAGAAAUGUCGUCAAAACAACAACACGGUUUAUUGAGAGAAGCGUCUCAUCAAAUUAUGGCUGGCGGUUCCGCUGCCAUUUUAUCCUGUUGUUGGAGUGAAGAUGGAAGGCGUUCCUGUGAAAAUGGAAAGUGAGAUUAUGGCACGGUGGAAUCGCUUAUAACGCGUUAUGGCCGUGGCACCCAUUAUCCCCCAUAAUGAAAUUUUAGCCACAAACUUUGGGUUUUAUUGUUGUUUUACAUAUCUGUAUUUAAACCAUUUUAAGUUCAAAUUUGGACUGUAUUUUGUAUUAUUUUUUUCUAAAAGUAAAAAAAA